UUUGAGGCUUCCGUGUGUCGUCGCGUUAAACGAUCGCAGAACGAUUUAUUUCUCUUUUUCACCUCGAUUUUGGCCUCUUGUGAUUUACCAAAACCAACAUGUGGAGUAACAACGCUGACGAAGGAGUUUCAUCAGUAGAGUGUGUCCUGGUAAACGUGUGCUCGGAAACAUGCAGAUUACAGUAUCUACAGAGCCGACCUUGAGGCUAGUUUUUGCAUGACAUCCACUGAUGGAUAAUCUGUUUACCUAAAAACAGGGUGGUGUUCAUACAAAGCAACUUAUUGCUCUUCUGCUUGAGAGAAAGUUACUGCUGGGGCUCUCCUGCUAAGGUUGUCUAAAGGUUGUCUUAAUUCUAAAAGUCAUUUAUCUGAAUAUGAAAGGCUUAAGUCAUAGCAAGUUUUGAAUGAAUGACUUCACAAUCUGUUUUAAUAAUGUUUAUUUACAAUGUAUUUUAUUCCACUGACCUGAAUCGUGCAGAAUUCUGGCUUGAUGUUUAGUCCACCGAUUGUCUUCUCCAACCUCUGAGUGAAGCCACCACGAGUGGUCGUGUUAACCAAUUUUUUAUCUUAGUGCACAGUGAGUGUGUCUACAUAGUCUAAACGCUUAAUAAACUGAUAACGUGUCAUUUAAAUGCGUAAAAUGGUUUUCUUUUAUAGGGUAAAGCCCAUAAAUGGCAAAAACUGAUUGGCACAGGUAGUUAUUUGCUCUUAACCCAGAUUUUAACAUUGCAUGUCUUAACGUCUUUUUUGCCAUUUCAGAUGUGCGCAUGUCUCAACCUGUGAUAGAUAAACUUCACAAAUGAAACACUUCAGGAGAAACCUGCCUGUGAUCUGCUAAGAUGCACAGAUCCAACUCUGGCCCAUUGCCAUCCCAACACCUCAUCUGCCAUCAGUUUCGUUUAGUGUUGGUCUAUUGCAAAAGUUCUUAUAAAUUUUAAAUGAGACUUUGUGUUAAGCAGGGGUUUCCAAACUUUAAAUUCCACAACAUAUUAAAGGGAUACUUCACCGAUUUAGCAUUCAGCUUUGUAUCUGUAGAAACCCGGCAGUAUUACUGAAUGACCAU